rnacentral:lncRNA from 1 species
AUGAAUGAAAGACCCUACUCACAGCAAGAGAGCUUUUCUAGGAGUAUAUUGCAUAUUGGCUGUUUUCCCAGCCCUGGGAAGUCUUUCAGAAGCAUGCUGUGGCACAUUUCGGUUAGUUUUAGUGAAUUGCAGUGUACAAGCUGGGUUCUUUCUCCUGAAGUGCUGAUGCUGCAGCAUUCCCGUCAGACCGCAGGCAGCAAGCAUCUUUCUGCUAUUUCUCUAUGUGGGCACAUACAGACCUGGGUCUUGGAGAAUUUACAGCAGCUUCAGCUUUGUAACCUACAGUGCAAGGGGAAUGCCUGCCUGCACGGAGCAAGCGUCCGACCGCACAGCUGUGCUCUGGUGCUGUGUCCAGGUUAACUUCACAUGGCAGCCACUGAAAGCGUGCGCUGAAGAACGUGCCCAGAGGAAGUUCCUCCACGCUGGUGGCUCACCAGGCUGGGCAGGAAGCAGCAGGUCACAGUUAGAUGUAACUUACUUUAAAGAUGGUGAGUGAGUGGUGCAGAAAACGUCAAGAGAAAGCAUGGUUCAACAGCCAGCAGGGGAGCAUGCAGUCCUGUAUCUCAGUCCUUAUUCCACAUACUGUCUGUUGGUUCACAUAUAUAUAUGUAAGGUCAGUAGUCUCAAGUGUAGCCACCUAGAACUGUCAUGGAUUUGACCAUUUUGUGAAAAA